rnacentral:rRNA from 1 species
GACAAACGCUGGCGGCGUGCUUAACACAUGCAAGUCGAACGGUUCCCCUUAGGGGGAAUAGUGGCGGACGGGUGAGUAACACGUAGAUAACCUGCCCCGAUGUGGGGAAUAACUAACCGAAAGGUUAGCUAAUACCGCAUAAGUUCUAUGUUGUUGGACAUAGAAGAAACGCCUUCUUUGGGAGGUGGCGUUGGGAGGGGUCUGCGGCGGAUUAGCUAGUUGGAGAGGGUAACGGCCUCCCAAGGCGACGAUCCGAGCUGGUCUGAGAGGACGAACAGCCACACUGGGACUGAGACACGGCCCAGACUCCUACGGGAGGCAGCAGU